rnacentral:snRNA from 1 species
UGGUCAACAUCACAAACAUUU